rnacentral:rRNA from 1 species
GAUGAACGCUGGCGGCGUGCCUAAUGCAUGCAAGUCGAGCGAACAGAUGAGGAGCUUGCUCCUCUGACGUUAGCGGCGGACGGGUGAGUAACACGUGGAUAACCUACCUAUAAGACUGGGAUAACUUCGGGAAACCGGAGCUAAUACCGGAUAAUAUAUUGAACCGCAUGGUUCAAUAGUGAAAGACGGUUUUGCUGUCACUUAUAGAUGGAUCCGCGCCGCAUUAGCUAGUUGGUAAGGUAACGGCUUACCAAGGCGACGAUGCGUAGCCGACCUGAGAGGGUGAUCGGCCACACUGGAACUGAGACACGGUCCAGACUCCUACGGGAGGCAGCAGUAGGGAAUCUUCCGCAAUGGGCGAAAGCUUGACGGAGCAACGCCGCGUGAGUGAUGAAGGUCUUCGGAUCGUAAAACUCUGUUAUUAGGGAAGAACAAAUGUGUAAGUAACUAUGCACGUCUUGACGGUACCUAAUCAGAAAGCCACGGCUAACUACGUG